rnacentral:rRNA from 1 species
UACAACCUGAACUCAGACGUGAUUACCCGCC